rnacentral:rRNA from 1 species
GACGAACGCUGGCGGCGUGCUUAACACAUGCAAGUCGGACGGCAAGGGUAGCAAUACCCCUAGAGUGGCGGACUGGUGAGUAACGCGUGGGUGACCUACCCUUGAGAUGGGGAUAGCCAUUAGAAAUAGUGGAUAAUACCGAAUACGCUCGCGAGACUGUGGUUUUGCGAGGAAAUCAGGCUACGGCCUGGCUCGAGGAUGGGCCCGCGUCCCAUUAGCUAGUUGGUGAGGUAAAAGCCCACCAAGGCGACGAUGGGUAUCCGGCCUGAGAGGGUGUACGGACACAUUGGGAACGAGAUACGGCCCAAACUCCUACGGGAGGCAGCAGCUAAGAAUAUUCCGCAAUGGACGAAAGUCUGACGGAGCGACGCCGCGUGGAUGAAGAAGGCCGAAAGGUUGUAAAAUCCUUUUGCUGAUGAAGAAUAAGUGUGGUAGGGAAUGACCGCAUGAUGACAUUAGUCGGUGAAUAAGCCCCGGCUAACUACGUGCCAGCCGCCGCAGUAA